CCUACGGGAGGCAGCAGUGGGGGAUAUUGCACAAUGGGGGGAACCCUGAUGCAGCGACGCCGCGUGGGUGAAGGAGUGCUUCGGCAUGUAAAGCCCUAUCGGCAGGGAAGAAGCAAGACGGUACCUGACUAAGAAGCCCCGGCCAACUACGUGCCAGCAGCCGCGGUACUACGUAGGGGGCGAGAGUUAUCCGGAUUCACUGGGUGUAAAGGGAGCGUAGACGGCUGUGCAAGCCAGGGGUGAAAGCCCGGGGCCCAACCCCGGGACUGCCGUUGGAACUGCAUGGCUGGAGUGCGGGAGGGGCAGGCGGAAUUCCUGGUGUAGCGGUGAAAUGCGUAGAUAUCAGGAGGAACACCGGCGGCGAAGGCGGCCUGCUGGACCGCGACUGACGUUGAGGCUCGAAAGCGUGGGGAGCGAACAGGAUUAGAUACCCGGGUAGUC
rnacentral:rRNA from 1 species